rnacentral:rRNA from 1 species
CCUACGGGAGGCAGCAGUGGGGAAUAUUGGACAAUGGGGGGAACCCUGAUCCAGCCAUGCCGCGUGUGUGAAGAAGGCCUUAUGGUUGUAAAGCACUUUAAGCGAGGAGGAGGCUCUCUUGGUUAAUACCCAAGAAGAGUGGACGUUACUCGCAGAAUAAGCACCGGCUAACUCUGUGCCAGCAGCCGCGGUAAUACAGAGGGUGCGAGCGUUAAUCGGAUUUACUGGGCGUAAAGCGUGCGUAGGCGGCUUUUUAAGUCGGAUGUGAAAUCCCCGAGCUUAACUUGGGAAUUGCAUUCGAUACUGGGAAGCUAGAGUAUGGGAGAGGAUGGUAGAAUUCCAGGUGUAGCGGUGAAAUGCGUAGAGAUCUGGAGGAAUACCGAUGGCGAAGGCAGCCAUCUGGCCUAAUACUGACGCUGAGGUACGAAAGCAUGGGGAGCAAACAGGAUUAGAUACCCUGGUAGUCCAUGCCGUAAACGAUGUCUACUAGCCGUUGGGGCCUUUGAGGCUUUAGUGGCGCAGCUACGCGAGUAAGUAGACCGCCGUGGGAGGUACGGUCGCGAGAACGUAAACGUUAAAGUAGUAAGUUAGUACGGCGUAGAGACGUUAGCCGACGGACGACGACGAGGGGAGGUAGG